CCCUAAACCUGACAGGAGCGGUAUCCUUUUUGGCUCGAUUGAUUUUGAAUUUAUAGCUAAUUUACCCAAAAAGAUUUAGCGGAUGGCAGGGCUAAAG
rnacentral:sRNA from 1 species